CUGCGUUUGGAAAGAUUUUUCGGUUGGGGAGGGGCUCGCGGCCUAUCAGCUUGUUGGUGAGGUAAUGGCUCACCAAGGCGUCGACGGGUAGCCGGCCUGAGAGGGUGACCGGCCACACUGGGACUGAGACACGGCCCAGACUCCUACGGGAGGCAGCAGUGGGGAAUAUUGCACAAUGGGCGGAAGCCUGAUGCAGCAACGCCGCGUGAGGGAUGACGGCCUUCGGGUUGUAAACCUCUUUUAGCAGGGAAGAAGCGAAAGUGACGGUACCUGCAGAAAAAGCGCCGGCUAACUACGUGCCAGCAGCCGCGGUAAUACGUAGGGCGCAAGCGUUAUCCGGAAUUAUUGGGCGUAAAGAGCUCGUAGGCGGUUUGUCGCGUCUGCUGUGAAAUCCCGAGGCUCAACCUCGGGCCUGCAGUGGGUACGGGCAGACUAGAGUGCGGUAGGGGAGAUUGGAAUUCCUGGUGUAGCGGUGGAAUGCGCAGAUAUCAGGAGGAACACCGAUGGCGAAGGCAGAUCUCUGGGCCGUAACUGACGCUGAGGAGCGAAAGGGUGGGGAGCAAACAGGCUUAGAUACCCUGGUAGUCCACCCCGUAAACGUUGGGAACUAGUUGUGGGGUCCAUUCCACGGAUUCCGUGACGCAGCUAACGCAUUAAGUUCCCCGCCUGGGGAGUACGGCCGCAAGGCUAAAACUCAAAGGAAUUGACGGGGACCCGCACAAGCGGCGGAGCAUGCGGAUUAAUUCGAUGCAACGCGAAGAACCUUACCAAGGCUUGACAUAUACGAGAACGGGCCAGAAAUGGUCAACUCUUUGGACACUCGUAAACAGGUGGUGCAUGGUUGUCGUCAGCUCGUGUCGUGAGAUGUUGGGUUAAGUCCCGCAACGAGCGCAACCCUCGUUCUAUGUUGCCAGCACGUAAUGGUGGGAACUCAUGGGAUACUGCCGGGGUCAACUCGGAGGAAGGUGGGGAUGACGUCAAAUCAUCAUGCCCCUUAUGUCUUGGGCUUCACGCAUGCUACAAUGGCCGGUACAAAGGGCUGCAAUACCGUGAGGUGGAGCGAAUCCCAAAAAGCCGGUCCCAGUUCGGAUUGAGGUCUGCAACUCGACCUCAUGAAGUCGGAGUCGCUAGUAAUCGCAGAUCAGCAACGCUGCGGUGAAUACGUUCCCGGGUCUUGUACACACCGCCCGUCAAGUCAUGAAAGUCGGUAACACCUGAAGCCGGUGGCCUAACCCUUGUGGAGGGAGCCGUCGAAGGUG
rnacentral:rRNA from 1 species